rnacentral:sRNA from 1 species
UAUUGCUUAGAUGGAUGGACGAGCUCAC